rnacentral:lncRNA from 1 species
AUCAGAUGUCAAGUCUAUCUGUAUGAGUUUCCUCAGUGUUUCUUCAGAGCUUUUUGGAGGUCCAUCUACCUUGUCAAAUACUGACUMUGCCUGUUUGAGCUGAAUGAUUUCUUAGUUAUUGACAACUGCGUACGCUUGGGUGAACCUGGCUGGAGCACUCGCAAAUAAGGCKCAAAGAUCUGCAGCACAAGUUCUUCAGAGCUUGUCUGAGAAGAUCCUCAUCUGGAAGGCAAUCAGUAACAGUAUUUAUAAUUAUGCCAAGUGGGAACAACAGGAAACAGCAUGACCCAACUGUACAAGCA